rnacentral:rRNA from 1 species
UACGUAGGGGGCGAGCGUUGUCCGGAGUUACUGGGCGUAAAGCGCACGCAGGCGGUCUGCUAAGUUUGGAGUGACAGUUGGUGGCUUAACUGCCAAAGUGCUUCGAAAACUGACAGACUUGAGGGCUUCAGAGGGACACGGAAUUCCGGGUGGAGUGGUGAAAUUCGUAGAUAUUCGGAAGAACACCAGUGGCGAAGGCGACUCACUGGACACGUAUUGACGCUGAGGUGCGAAAGCGUGGGGAGCAAACAGG